GAUGAACGCUGGCGGCGUGCUUAACACAUGCAAGUCGAACGGAAAGGCCGAAGCUUGCUUCGGUACUCGAGUGGCGAACGGGUGAGUAACACGUGGGUGAUCUGCCCUGUACUUCGGGAUAAGCUUGGGAAACUGGGUCUAAUACCGGAUAUGACGAUCUCUUGGAUGGGGUUGUGGAAAGCUUUUGCGGUAUGGGAUGAGCUCGCGGCCUAUCAGCUUGUUGGUGGGGUAAUGGCCUACCAAGGCGUCGACGGGUAGCCGGCCUGAGAGGGUGUACGGCCACAUUGGGACUGAGAUACGGCCCAGACUCCUACGGGAGGCAGUAGUGGGGAAUAUUGCACAAUGGGCGCAAGCCUGAUGCAGCGACGCCGCGUGGGGGAUGACGGCCUUCGGGUUGUAAACCCCUUUCGCAAUCGACGAAGCCUUUUGGUGACGGUAGGUGGAGAAGAAGCACCGGCUAACUACGUG
rnacentral:rRNA from 1 species